UAUAAUGAUCAGAUGUAACUAACUCAAUACAAAUUACAUUUUACUUUACAUUGUUUGUUUUCCUUUUCCUCUCAAUACGUGAAUCUAGAAUCUCCAUUGAAGGAGUUAACAAUCAUGAAUUUUGAGUGAAUAAAAGUUUGAAGCUUAACCAUUUGACUAAUUCAUAUUUUAUCCAUAUUUUUAUGGGUCAAAUAUGGGUGUCAAUACAUAUUUUACCCAUAUAAAAAUCAUUCCCCCAACCCAUUAAAAUAUUGGCGGGUCAACAAAAUAUGAGCUCAUUUUGUCGGCACUAGUUUGAGGUUAUGGUCAUUCUUCUCUUGACCUCUAACUACUUCAUGAUUUGAGAAGGAUGAUAUACUUAUAUCCCUGCACUCCAUGAGAGUAUCUGUCAUGAUGUCAUCCUUCACCAUAUUUGUCCAUGGUAAAGACUGCGAAGAUCGAUCCAUGAAGGCCAAAUCAAGGAUUAGUGUCUCUCUCAGAAAUCUUUCACAAGCAAUGUCCUUAAAAGACAUAGCAAGGACUUGAGAUAUUUGCACUCACGUGGUAAUUUCUGAGUAUGCACAGCAAAGUGGGAGGAACUUUCAGCUCAAAUUACGGGUGGUUCUUGGGAGAAUUGUUUGAGUGCAGUAUGAUCAAACACAAUCCGAUGAGCCAAGUCAUGAGAUUGCCUUGAUUCACCCUUCGACUGCUGCCUCCUAUUUAAUGGAGGUGAAUACACAUCUUUUGGGUGCACACAUGUUAAACUCAAAUGAAAAAGAAUACAGGUCAUCUAGUAUGCCUGCAGUGAACCAGUAGCCUAAUUUGACGAUAAAUCAUACCUUAUGCACCGUUAUACAUGCACUUUGCGUAAAAGUCUGUCAAGUGGAAGUAAAUUUAUAGUUCUUGCUAUAGUUAACUGUGUAUAAAUCCUCCCAAUCCCUUUUUGCGUUUCUGCCCAGAAAGUUUGUAGAGUGGCUAGAGGUUGAAGUUUUUGGGA